AACGAACGCUGGCGGCAUGCCUAACACAUGCAAGUCGAACGAGACCUUCGGGUCUAGUGGCGCACGGGUGCGUAACGCGUGGGAACCUGCCCUUAGGUUCGGCAUAACUCCCCGAAAGGGGUGCUAAUACCGGAUAAUGUCUUCGGUCCAAAGAUUUAUCGCCUUUGGAUGGGCUCGCGUUGGAUUAGCUAGUUGGUAGGGUAAAAGCCUACCAAGGCGACGAUCCAUAGCUGGUCUGAGAGGAUGAUCAGCCACACUGGGACUGAGACACGGCCCAGACUCCUACGGGAGGCAGCAGUGGGGAAUAUUGGACAAUGGGCGAAAGCCUGAUCCAGCAAUGCCGGGUGAGUGAUGAAGGCCUUAGGGUUGUAAAGCUCUUUUACCCGGGAUGAUAAUGACAGUACCGGGAGAAUAAGCUCCGGCUAACUCCGUG
rnacentral:rRNA from 1 species